AUCUUUCUUGUCUUGGGGUGGUAUGGGAACCCAAUGAACGUGUAGUGAGAGUAUCCCUGCUAACGCCAUAAUCAACACAUGCAUCACCUGCGAGCCUUGCCCGGGCUAUGGUGCAAUUUUUGGAACC